UGUGCUUGGCAGAUAGAGGAACACGGGCCCCUGCUGCCGCCAACGCCACCAACGCGUCAUACUACUCAAUCCACUAUGCCGCCGCCGCCAUCACCAUGACCGCCGUUCGUAAGGAGACGGCCGGAGAAGGGUUCUCGGUGUCACCGGAGGGGAGGAAGGAGGUGCGGGAGAUCGAGUUCUUCCCGACGAGGAUCAGCAGCCACGAAGGCGGUUCCGACGAGUCCGAGCUGCGCAGGGCGUCGCCCUUGUCCUCCUCGCCGCCCGGCGGUGUCGGUGGCUCCCUGGACCUGUCCCUCAAACUCUAGCUAGGGUUUCGACUUCCGAUCAGUAUCCGGUCGUAGAUCCAUGAACGAGUUGUUGGAUUGUUUUUGAUUAAUGCUUGUCAUUUCUGGAGCUAAUUACAGUUUGCCAGCCAUGCAUGUAUCGGAUGAGAACGAGAUGAAUGCCUCCAUUGCCGUUAUAAGUAGAGUAAUUAAUUUCGUAAUCUGUGAGAUGAUAGAGGAGGAUUCGUAUCAUGUCAAACGCCA